UAGCACUGGGCAAAGCCAUCUCAUUGUCUUGGAGAAAUUCUCUGCCCCUUGCCUUCCCAGUAGAGAGCACAGCACAGCCCCACCAGGGUGAGGAAUAAACGGUGUCCUUGUAGAAAAAAACAAUCCUCCUCUUCCAGGCAGUGGGAGUGUGUGCUCCUUGCUCAUGUCCUGGAGCCCCCUGCACCCCAACAGCCCCUUGACCCCAGGAUCCACCCCAGAACCAGUGUCCAGGGUCCCCAGGACAGAAGGGACACCUCAGCAGAAUCUAUUUUUAGGCCAUUUCAGGGUUAAUAAGGUUUCUCCAUUGGCAGAAAUGCAGGAAUUAAACGUUCUCCACAACUUACUUUAAUUCUAACUAAAUAAUAUGGCUACAGGGAGCACCAAAGGAAUCUUAAGGGGGAAAUGCUGAAGUUGGGUCAUUCUCAAGACUUUGGGUCUGUGAGGUCCACUGACUCAUCAGAGAAAGGAAUGUGGCAUGGAUGGAUGCUGUGCACAGCAGUGAAUCGCAGUAACAAGUUCACAGAAAACUUCAGGAGGCUUUUACAAAGGCUUGUAAGCACUUUGAAGCUGGAGACUGUUUUUAUAUACGUACAGCACUUGCGUAACAAGGUCUCGACAGUGAACGGGAUUCCAGGGUGCAGUUGCAAUAAAGUGAUUAAUAGUA